rnacentral:misc_RNA from 1 species
GUAUUAAGUUUUGUUGACCAUUCAAGGCCACAAUUAGACAUUCAAUAAACUUUUUAGGGGUGUGUUAAAACAUAGGCAACAGACUUUUUACAUCUGCACCUACAAUAAGUUCACAGGUGUAUUGAAAAGGUGGAGUGCACAUGCCCCGAAAGGCCAGCAACAUCCUUUGGAUUCAAUAAUGAUCCUUCCGCAGGUUCACCUACGGAAA